rnacentral:rRNA from 1 species
AUUGAACGCUGGCGGCAGGCUUAACACAUGCAAGUCGAGCGGAGAUGAGGUGCUUGCACCUUAUCUUAGCGGCGGACGGGUGAGUAAUGCUUAGGAAUCUGCCUAUUAGUGGGGGACAACAUUCCGAAAGGAAUGCUAAUACCGCAUACGUCCUACGGGAGAAAGCAGGGGAUCUUCGGACCUUGCGCUAACAGAUGAGCCUAAGUCGGAUUUGCUAGUUGGUGGGGUAAAGGCCUACCAAGGCGACGAUCUGUAGCGGGUCUGAGAGGAUGAUCCGCCACACUGGGACUGAGACACGGCCCAGACUCCUACGGGAGGCAGCAGUGGGGAAUAUUGGACAAUGGGGGAACCCUGAUCCAGCCAUGCCGCGUGUGUGAAGAAGGCCUUAUGGUUGUAAAGCACUUUAAGCGAGGAGGAGGCUACUGAGACUAAUACUCUUGGAUAGUGGACGUUACUCGCAGAAUAAGCACCGGCUAACUCUGUGCCAGCAGCCGCCGUAACAC